CGGGGGGGGGUGCCUAUACAUGCAAGUCGAGCGAACUGAUUAGAAGCUUGCUUCUAUGACGUUAGCGGCGGACGGGUGAGUAACACGUGGGCAACCUGCCUGUAAGACUGGGAUAACUUCGGGAAACCGAAGCUAAUACCGGAUAGGAUCUUCUCCUUCAUGGGAGAUGAUUGAAAGAUGGUUUCGGCUAUCACUUACAGAUGGGCCCGCGGUGCAUUAGCUAGUUGGUGAGGUAACGGCUCACCAAGGCAACGAUGCAUAGCCGACCUGAGAGGGUGAUCGGCCACACUGGGACUGAGACACGGCCCAGACUCCUACGGGAGGCAGCAGUAGGGAAUCUUCCGCAAUGGACGAAAGUCUGACGGAGCAACGCCGCGUGAGUGAUGAAGGCUUUCGGGUCGUAAAACUCUGUUGUUAGGGAAGAACAAGUACGAGAGUAACUGCUCGUACCUUGACGGUACCUAACCAGAAAGCCACGGCUAACUACGUGCCAGCAGCCGCGGUAAUACGUAGGUGGCAAGCGUUAUCCGGAAUUAUUGGGCGUAAAGCGCGCGCAGGCGGUUUCUUAAGUCUGAUGUGAAAGCCCACGGCUCAACCGUGGAGGGUCAUUGGAAACUGGGGAACUUGAGUGCAGAAGAGAAAAGCGGAAUUCCACGUGUAGCGGUGAAAUGCGUAGAGAUGUGGAGGAACACCAGUGGCGAAGGCGGCUUUUUGGUCUGUAACUGACGCUGAGGCGCGAAAGCGUGGGGAGCAAACAGGAUUAGAUACCGUGGGUAGUCCAAAAA
rnacentral:rRNA from 2 species